UACGUAGGGACCAAGCGUUGUUCGGAUUUACUGGGCGUAAAGGGCGCGUAGGCGGCAAUUCAAGUCAGCUGUGAAAUCUCCGGGCUUAACUCGGAACGGUCAGCUGAUACUGCUUUGCUAGAGUGCAGAAGGGGCAAUCGGAAUUCUUGAUGUAGCGGUGAAAUGCGUAGAUAUCAAGAGGAACACCUGAGGUGAAGACGGGUUGCUGGGCUGACACUGACGCUGAGGCGCGAAAGCUAGGGUAGCAAACGGG
rnacentral:rRNA from 1 species